UACGUAGGGGGCUAGCGUUGUCCGGAAUCAUUGGGCGUAAAGAGCGCGUAGGCGGCUUGGCAAGUGGAUGGUGAAAUCCCUCGGCUUAACCGAGGAACUGCCGUCCAAACUGCUUAGCUUGAGACCGGGAGAGGUGAGUGGAAUUCCCAGUGUAGCGGUGAAAUGCGUAGAUAUUGGGAGGAACACCAGUGGCGAAGGCGGCUCACUGGACCGGAACUGACGCUGAUGCGCGAAAGCGUGGGGAGCAAACAGG
rnacentral:rRNA from 1 species